rfam:Alligator mississippiensis ScZkoYb_187, whole genome shotgun sequence.
GCCAUAUGAUGUAAAAUAGAUGGCAGUAGCACUGUGUGCAAAGAUGACUUGCAUCUAUCACCCAAUACUGAUGGCU